UCAUCUCAUUUUGCAUCACUUGCUUGGCUUUUGCAUUCCACAAUUUUAUUUUAUUUUUGUUGUUAGUUCAAUGUAUGUUGCUGGAUCUCUUGCCUUUAUGGAGUUAAUUCUAUAUAUAUUGCUUUGGUAGGUGAUUAUUUGUGUGUUUGUAUGAAUACAUUGCACAGAUGUUAUUGAAUUUAGUGUUGUUCUUAAACAAUUAAACAUUGAAUUCUACGAUUGGUUGGAUUCGUGUGUACAAAUCCUUUAUGUCCAUUCUAUUAUGGUGUUCAAAUGAUUCAUCAUAAUUGGAUUACGAAAAGGUAUUACUAAGGAGUUCUCUCUAGUUUGUACUAGACAAGGGAAGGAAGAGAGUGGAUGCAUAUUGUACGCUUACAAAUCUGUAGAAGGCUGUUUCAAUGCCUCGAAGCGAUAAUCUACAGGUUAUCAGAAAAACCUGGAAACUGAUGGCUUUUGCACAACAGUGAUUUCAAAGUUAGAGAUGCUUUGGUCCUCUUCUGCCAGAUGGAUGGACUCUUAAGGGUUCCAGGAAAAAGGUUUAAGGAACAAAGGAAGAGAAUGGAGUUAAAAGGCUAGCAGACUUUUGGUUCUAAGUGGAUGGAUCUAUAAAGGAGCUAUCUCUUGUUGUUUUUUCACAGUUUUAUCCUACUAAUGGAGAACUGUAGAGGUGGAACCAAGUUACUAGCUGCUACUCUUAGUAUUGGUACAAUAUUGACACAUGCAUUGCCAUAGGUUGUCUUACACUACAUGGCUAUUUGGUGGACAUAGGAUUUAUCAACAAAUGGAACGAUGAAUUUCUUGGAAAACUAACUUGGGCUGGCUGUUAGAGAAUUGGCAGGGUUGGCUUGUGUCAUUUUUAGUGCCUAAUCGCAUUUACUUCCAAAUGUUUCCUUUAGGAACUCCAUUCCCAAGAUCGUCGAACAGGAUUGUCAAUUAUGACAUCGUAACACAUGGAGCUUGCACAAUGAGUUGUAAAAGAGUUCAAGUCUCAUAGAUGAUAGAGAUCUAUCUGAUUUCUUAGUUUAAGUAUAAGAUCAUUGGCAAAUGUAUAGCACAUGAACUACAUCUUUA